AGCACGGAGGUGAGUCUUUUCCCAAUGAUGGUGAGAAGCAUUGCACACCGGAGAAGUAAACGAAAUACAUAAAUGGUGACAGUUCAAAGUCAAAAUAUAGGAGAAAGUGCAAAAAACAUCUAAAAAGAGUAAUGUUCAAAAAUGUGAAAAACUAAAAUACAAUUUUGACGCUGUUAAUCUUAGAAUCAACAAAUUUUUAAAGACAAAGUUAUUAAAAUUCAAUAUUUUUUACAUCAAAAACUUAUUUCACCACUAAUAAGUAGUAUUAUACAUACAACAACACAUUAUUAAAAAGACAAACAUAUAAUAUAUUAACUUACUAACUACUACAUAACAUUAUAAAACAUCAAAUAAUGAUAUUCACAAUAAAUACUGACCACAUAAUCACAUUAUCCAAAAAUCAUUUUUAAAAACAAUAAAUCAAUAUUCUGCGCGAAGCGCGGACACUCUCAUAAUUUCUUAUAUAAUUCAGUUCUGUUAACUGAGAUGAUUGUUCUCCUUAAAUAUCUUCACAGAAAUAUUUUUUGAAAAACCUACUUUACAUUUUUACUCGAUGACUAAUUCCUCUUCGUCUUUAACAAAUUUAUUCAAAAAAUUAUUUUUUAUUACACUAAAUAGUACAUAUCACAAAGAAAUCUAACGAAUCUAAAAGAAAAGUUUCAUAUAUUUCGUCUUCGCAUCCAUCAAUGUUGACCAAAUUGUCCUAUAUCUUGGCUGCUUUUGUUUUGCAGUUGUCUUUCACAGAAUCAAUAAAAAACCUUGGAGAGUAGUCUUGUCACCUUAAAUGUUAUAAAUUGUUUUGGUAGGCAUUUUACAACCAAGAACUAGGUCUGGGAUUUAUUAUCUGAGAUCCGGAUUCGAUAUGA
rnacentral:lncRNA from 1 species